UACGGAGGGUGCGAGCGUUAAUCGGAAUACUGGCGUAAGACGCACGCAGGCGGUUUGUUAAGCUAAGAUGAUGAAGACCCCGGGCUCAACCUGGGAACUGCAUUUUGAACUGGCAGACUAGAGUCUUGGAGAGGGGGGUGGAAUUCCAGGUGUAGCGGUGAAAUGCGUAGAGAUCUGGAGGAACAUCAGUGGCGAAGGCGGCCCCGCAAAGACUGACGCUCAUGUGCGAAAGUGUG
rnacentral:rRNA from 1 species